UCACUCAACUGCUGUCAAAAAUUGCGGUCGAAGAGAAACUGCUUGGUCGCCUACUGAAGAAAACAUAAACAUAGCAAAUUAACGACUUCACAGUUUUCUCCAAAUAGUGCAAAAAGCAGACGUCAGUGGCGCUCAACUUGUCGGAGUGCCACAGAGAUCACCUAUUGGGAAAAAGUGAGAACUUCUUAGCGCUAAUGUAGUAGCUCAUUUACUCUCGUUUCUCCAGCGGUAGUAGAUGGCAAAAAUGGUGAAUAUCAUGUUUUCGCUAACAUUUUAAAUUUUGCUGCUGAAUUAUUUAUCGCUGAAUCCCUUACCACUGAAACAUUUUACAGGAUAGCAAAAUUUUUUGAGAGAAGCAAAAACUAUGUGCCACGUGGAGCGAUAUCAGGUUUUAGCAACUGAGAUUUGAAGUAAUUUUUGAAACCGGCCAUUUCUGUAUAUUUUCGACUACAGUUUGUCGUACAUGUGCAGCCCAUUGCUCCAAGAACAUAUACUUUAAGGCCUUGGAUCAUGCUUUUGCAACGAUGGGUGAUUCCUGUCUACCAUUUAGAAGGCUGAAUGUCAGGAAAAUUGUACUGAUUUAAAACCAAAAAAAGCAAAGCAAUAGUAUUGUAUACUGACCAUUAUGGAAAAUUGAAACUAAUCUACUAUCCAAGUUGAGUUCCCCAUGCUGCUUUACCAUUUACAAAAAUGUCUCAAACUGGUUUCACACAUACAUCCACAUUUUUCUGUUCAACAGGGAAGAAGUUCUACUAUACUUGCCAAUACUAUACUUGCCAAGAACAUGGCUACCAGAAACUCAAAUUGCUCAUAGGAUUAACAAUCUUGUAUGUUGUUCGAUCUUGGAGUUGACAACUUGGCAUAUGAUGCCCUUUCAAAGCUGCUGGCUGAAAUUAAUUAUGGCAGCCGUUCGGAAAAGGUGAAGAUGUUCGAGGAAAGAUAUCUUCAGACAGAUACCAGUGCAUAGUUCAACCCUAUUAACUAAUCACCAUGGAACUCCAUUAGACCAACUGUUUCAUUAACACCAGAUGUUGCUAAAACCUGUUGCCUCUGAGCCGUCACAUUUUUGGCUGCAUAUUUUUGUUUUGUAUUGAGGUUAGUUACCUAAUUCAAUCCUAUUACUUAAUCAUUACGGAACUCCAUUAGACCCAUUGUUUUUGGUACAAAAAUUUUAGUUUUAAACUUGUGAUUUGGGUUUUAGUGAAACUUGCCUGCCAUUACAAACGCACCGCUGAUUGCGAGGAAAAUACUUUUAUUUCCAAUCAAGCGGUUUUUCAAUCUAAUUGGUGCAACACAAACACUUUGUAGUUGAGUAAAUUUUAAAUAUGAAAUCAAAAAUAAUUCCGUUUUCAUAUUGGUAGUUGAAAAUUCAUAUUUAAAAAAAAAAUAAAGCCGGGAUUUACUUGACUGGUGUGAAAAAUUUGUAUUUUACGUUAAA